GCAGUGGCAGUUCAGUGGUAGAAUUCUUGUCUUCCAUGUGGGAGAACUGGGUUCGAUUCCCAGCCAGCGCA
rnacentral:tRNA from 1 species